rnacentral:rRNA from 1 species
CAAAGGUAGCGUAAUCACUUGUCUUAUAAAUAAAGACUAGUAUGAAUGGCUAAAUGAAUAUUUAACUGUCUCCUUCAACUAAUCAGUGAAACUGAUCUUUCAGUACAAAAGCUGAAAUAUAAACAUAAGACGAGAAGACCCUGUGGAGCUUUAAAUUUUUGUCAGCGCCUGUAUAAAAUAUGCUUAUGAUAAAGAAUUUUUAGUUGGGGCGACUUUGGAGUAAAACACAACCUCCAAGAAAAGGCACCGCCUAAACAAGGCCCACAAGCCAAAACUAUGUGACCCAGUACCACUGAUCAACGAACCAAGUUACCCCAGGGAUAACAGCGCCAUCUUCUUCAAGAGUUCAUAUCGACAAGAAGGCUUACGACCUCGAUGUUGGAUCAGGACACCCAAAUGGUGCAGCCGCUAUUAAAGGUUCGUUUGUUCAACGAUUAACAGU